UACGGAGGGUGCAAGCGUUACCCGGAUUCACUGGGUUUAAAGGGUGCGUAGGCGGCUAGGUAAGUCAGUGGUGAAAUCCUAGAGCUUAACUCUAGAACUGCCGUUGAUACUAUCUAUCUUGAAUAUUGUGGAGGUAAGCGGAAUAUGUCAUGCAGCGGUGAAAUGCUUAGACAUGACAUAGAACGCCUAUUGCGAAGGCAGCUUACUACGCAUAUAUUGACGCUGAGGCACGAAAGCGUGGGGAUCAAACAGG
rnacentral:rRNA from 1 species